rnacentral:tRNA from 1 species
UCUCUUAUAGCUCAGAUGGUAGAGCGACUGGCUGUUAACCAGUAUGUCGCAGGUUCGAGUCCUGCUGGGAGAG